rnacentral:tRNA from 1 species
GGGUCGUUAGCUCGGUUGGUAGAGCAGUUGACUUUUAAUCAAUUGGUCGCAGGUUCGAAUCCUGCACGACCCACCA